GUCUAUAGCCAUCCUUCCUGAGCAUGCCUGAUCUCAGAAGCUAAGCAGCUUUGGGCCUGGUUAGUACUUGGAUGGAAGACCAUGGUCUUCCCUGGUGACUCAGACA
rnacentral:rRNA from 1 species